rnacentral:lncRNA from 1 species
GGCAGCUUCUGCUAGUGUUUAGGUACUAGUGCAGUGUAGAACCCUUUUCUCAGGCAAAACCUAACAUCUGACCGCACCCUUUUUGCUAUUAAAAAAAAAAAAAAGCUUCUAUUUUUUUCCUCCUGUCGUUAAGAUAAAUUCUCCAGUAGACAACCUCUCCCACUAAUUGUGUAUUAGCAACGUAUUUUAUCUUGAGAGCUUGUACACUGGGCUCUCAACGUGGUGUGGAAGGUAGCCUGUUACAGUGCUGGAUUCAUAAAAGGGCCUUUAUGGUUUGUGAAAGAAUAUCUGUGUGCUUAGGGAGGAAACUUUUUGAUCUGCAGAAAAGCCAGAAGACAUCUAGGACAUCCAUAAAAAUUCAUCAGAGAGCAUUUUACUACUGAGCUGCAAAGGCUGGAGUGCAGUGGCACCGUCUCAGGUCACUUCAACCUCCGCCUCCUGGGCUCAAGCGAGUCUCCCGCCUCAGCCUCCUGAGUACCUGGAAUUGCAGGGAAAAACUUAAAAUGGAUAUGAAAAGUGAAGAAAGUGAUCAUAGGAGAAAACCAUUUCAGAUGACAAGAGCACCUCAAAGGCAGCAGCCUCAAGGAGCAGCCAUGGCCCCAGACUUGUCGCACGGAUGCAGAAAACUUAAUGGAGGAGGCUGAGGUCAGAAUGGGAAGAGUUUUUAAAAAAUAAAAAGGGGAGCUAAUAUG